rnacentral:rRNA from 1 species
UGGGGAAUAUUGCACAAUGGGCGCAAGCCUGAUGCAGCCAUGCCGCGUGUAUGAAGAAGGCCUUCGGGUUGUAAAGUACUUUCAGUCGGGAGGAAGGUGUCAAGGUUAAUAACCUUGGCAAUUGACGUUACCGACAGAAGAAGCACCGGCUAACUCCGUGCCAGCAGCCGCGGUAAUACGGAGGGUGCAAGCGUUAAUCGGAAUUACUGGGCGUAAAGCGCACGCAGGCGGUUGUUUGAGUCAGAUGUGAAAUCCCCGGGCUUAACCCGGGAAUUGCAUCUGAUACUGGUCAGCUAGAGUCUUGUAGAGGGGGGUAGAAUUCCAUGUGUAGCGGUGAAAUGCGUAGAGAUGUGGAGGAAUACCGGUGGCGAAGGCGGCCCCCUGGACAAAGACUGACGCUCAGGUGCGAAAGCGUGGGGAGCAAACAGG